AGUGGGCUAGCCUGAGGGGAGAAAAAGAGAGAGCUAAAGCUAAGGAGCAGAGAUUUCUUUGUUGGUUUUGGAAAGGAGGGAGGGCUUGAGGACGAGUAAAUCUGGCUCGAGGAGACACUCCAGGAGGGAUUACUACCAGCUGAGAAACUCUAGAGUAUAGAAUUUCUACGACCAGACAUUCGGAAGACUGUUGCAGUGCAUCACUACAUUUAGUGAGAUAUCAUGUUUAACGUUCAUAGGAAUGUCAGCUACAAUGGAGUCAGACAUAUUAGAGACAACAUAUAUGAAGCGACAGCGGAAGCGGAAGGAGACAUUCUUAAGUUGGUGACUUUGAAAGUAGUGGAUCCAAAUGACACAGAAUAUCUUUCCUAUGAAAUGGCAGAAGGUUUGGAUAAGGAGCAUGUGUUAGUUGGUUAUGAUAGUUAUGAAGAACCAGGACGACGUGUAAUUAUUUAUGAACGCCACCAAAGCCUACAAGAUUGGCUCCAACAGCAUCAAGUUGUGAUUGGAGGGAGACUUAACCAAGAGUUGAUAUCCAUUAUAUGGUAUUUUUGUAAUCAAUAUUUACUUUUUAUUUUUUUUAUUUGAUAUAUUUUAAUUUAGUUAAUAUUUUCUAUCCAGGGACCUACUUAAAGCCAUUCAAUACUUGGUACCAUUAAGAAAGCUGGAAGGUGGCUUUGACAUGCAUAAUGUAGUAGUGGUGAAGGGAAGGGGGAAAAUUACAGGAUUAUGCGAUGACUAUGAAGGAAAAAAUCUUCAGGUUAUCCGACUUGAAAUUGCAAGUGUGUUAGAAAACAUUUUCAGCCGCUGCUAUGGGCUUGAAAUAACUCAAAUUGAAGAUUUCAGAUCCCUUAUUGCUGUUUUAAGGAAAUCAGACCUACCUCAUGACCAUGUUUUCAGGAUCAUACACAGGCAUCCCUUGCUUUUGACCCAUUCUUCUCGUGUUGCUUUUCGAUUGCUUGCCUACACAUCUAUACUUAGAUAUAAUUCCAAUUACCGAACAUCACAAUUUGUUGGAGACUAUGAUAAUUUUUUGUCUGCUUGUUCUUUAAGUCGUCCGUGUAUUAGCACUUCAUGGACCCAAUGGGUAAAAUAUAAUAACAGACCAAACUACUAUAGCCAAGAAUUGAAGAGGGCUUUGGCAUGCCGUCUACUCCGUAUUCAGAUUCCCCUUGGUCUUUUUUUAAAUUCAUGAGAAAUCUUGUAGCUCGUGUGGUAAGUUUAAUUUAUUUAGAUUUUAUUUAUACGUUUUUUUAUUUUAUAAAUCUAAAAGAUAUAUGUGUUUAUGUAAUGUAGGAAAAUGCUGAAGAUUUAGACAAAGAGUUAAACCUCAUUUGGCCUGGUUUUCUUGGGAUGAUAUUUGAAAUGCUACUAGAAUUUCAAGUAGUUUUGAUUGAUAGUGUCUGAGGCUUUUUCUCAAAGGAUGUUGUUGGAACUUCACGAUGAUAUGCUGGAAGAUGAGCUUCUAAUCAAGGUUCCUGGAAGUGCAUACUCUGGAGAGAAAAGCACCACCACUGGAGGUGAAAUCGAGGAGCUAAGUCCUUCAAAGCUUAAUAAUUCAGAAACCCAUUGUGAAGCAUCAACAGGCAGUAUCUGAAUCAUUUCCCAUGUGGUUGUUGUAUCCUGCAGAUUAAAUGAGUUUGAUGAUGAGAAAUUUUGUAUUGGAAGCAUGCAUUGCAAUGACUGAGAUUCUAUGGAAUGCUGGUGCUAAAUAUUUUGUAUAUUUUAUCAUUAGAUAGACUUCAAUUUCCCUAGUGGAACCUGCAAUGACUGAAUGUUACCACAUAAUUAUUUACAUAGUCAGGAAGAUAAAUGAGGUAGUUCUGUUGAGUCAAUGUUGAUGAGGAACUCAGAAUUGUUUGACCAAUAUAUUGCUAAUCAGUGCAAUGAUUUUUCAAGAUGGUGGACCAUGUAUUUGACUGUCCAUGAAAAUAGUAAAUAUGUGUGCUUUAGGGAACCCCAUGGUGGCUGUAAUAUCACAGUUCUUAAGCUAUGAUACUGUUCAUCGUCUUGCAAGUUUCAACCACCAAGUUCCUUUUCUUGUCUGGUGGUGAUAUUUGAGCAGGGUCAGGUUUAUGUGUGUUUCUAUAUAAUCUAAGAAAUGACAGACUAAUGUUGCAUUAACCAAAUCCAGAAUCAAGGGAAUUUGGAGAUUCACGAGGAUAUACUGGAAGAUGAGCUUCUAAUCAAGGUUCCUGGAAGUGCAUACUCUGGACAGAGAAGCACCACCACUGGAGGUGAACUCAAGGAGCUAAGUCCUUCAAAGCUUAAUAAUUCGGAAACCCAUUGUGAAGCAUCAACAGGCAGUAUCUGAAUCAUUUCCCAUGUGGCUGUUGUAUCCUGCAGAUUAAAUGAAUUUGAUGAUGAGAAAUUUUGUAUUGGAAGCAUGCAUUGCUAUGACUGAGAUUCUAUGGAAUGCUGGAUUGAUGCAGGGCUAUUCUAAUGAUACUGGUGGUAAAUAUUUUGUAUCUUUUAUCAUUAGAUAAGACUUCAAUUUCCCUAGUGGAACCUGCAGCAGGCUGUACAAGAAAAAGGAUCAGGGUUCUGAUUUUUACCAUGUUAAAUUUGAGUUUUCGUGAUUUGUAUUAUUUCCCAUGUUCGGAUUGAGUUGGCAUACAUCUUUGUACCCCAGCCAAGACUCAACUCAACAAUUAUCAAUUCAAAUUCUAUACAAAGCAAUUUAACUGCCA